UGAAUGAGGACAGAGGUUCAGCCCACAGAUUCAUCUAUCUAUUCCCCAAUCUUAUACCCUCAACAUUCUCAAACUCUUUCUCUCUCCCUUUCCAUCUUGUCCUUCACAAUCACAACAACAACCACCGCCACCACCACCACCACCACCUGUGAGGGAGUGGCCGAGAGAGAAGAUUUUCCGGCGGGAGACAAAGAGUUCCGCCCGAGGAAGAGAGUGUUCCGACCGAGAUAAAGAGUUCCGGUGGCAUUUCGCGGUAACACGGCGGUGACGGCAGUGACGGAGCUUCUUUCUCCUUCUUUUCUCUGGCUCUAUAAAAGAGUUUUUGCAGGACUAUUAGGAGGUGGAAAAUGCAGGAUGCCAAGAACUGCUAUACUUAGGUUUUUAGAAAGAACUGCACAAGACUUGCUUCAUGCAGCAUUUUGCAGAUAAAGGAUGGAUUUUGAUUUAGCUUGAAGGUUUUGAUCAUCUGUUAUAAGAGCUCUUGGUCCAUCUCCAAGAAAAAUUUACUUUCUCCAUGAAAAAUGAAAAUCAGGAUAUUGAUGCCACACAGGAGUUGGAAGUUUGCAGAAUAUGAAUUCUAAGUUGCUUAGGUAGACAGUUGGCUUAUAUCAUUAUUAAUAAUAAUAUUGAGCCCAUUUUUUUAUUCUCUAUAAACCAUUUAUAUAUAAAUAAUUUGUAUAUUAUUCUUUAGAGACUCUUAAAAAAGGUAUAAACCAUGGUUGCAAAAGCAUUUUCGAAACUAUGCAUGUUAAAAUAGUUUUUCGUUAAUUCAUUAAUAGGAUUGAAAAAAGCAUAGCCAUCAUACAUUAUGCUUUCCUUUUAUUAAAGAUGAUGGCUAUGAUGGCUAUGAUGUGAAUGUGAAAAACUUAACAUGUGACUGUUUGGAAUUAAAAUCCGAUUUUGUGUCUUUAAUUUCUUUUUGCAUAUCAGGAUUAUGUGACAAUGGAUUGUGGUGAUAGUGAUGCUAUAAUUGUACCCCCAAAAACUAUAUUGCAGUAGACUGGUGACAAAUUUCUUCCUUUCUUUUUCCUGUGGUUGGUUGUUACAGGAAAGCAGAUAAAUUACAGACAGAACUUGGAAAAUAUUUGAACUACAAUAAAGUGAAGUCUAAUUCUAUUCUGCGUUCUUCAUUCGAGCAUCCUGAUGAACUUCUGACAACAGAUAAUCUUUCCUUGGUGAGUUAAGAUACCAACACAUUUUUAACUUAUCACAUGCUUGGCCUGUCUUACAUAUAUCAGUGCCGUUUACGGAAAUGCGUUUGUUUGCUGAUAUCAUGUAUUUUUUGGUGGCUAUCUUGAGGCUUUAAGCUCAGGUGUUUUGACAACAUUAUUGGUGUGCUGCUGCUGAUGCGGGUGCUGAGCAAUUGGCCAUUUGUUUUGGUGCAAUGAUGAUGUUUUAAAUUGAGGUCACUCACUUUCUGAAGCGAGAAAUGAAAGAAUUGUUUAUUGCACGAUUAUUUGGACCGGCUGGUUUUGUGAAACCCGUUCUGAUUCUGUGGUUAUGAAGGUUAUGGCUGGUUUUUCAUUUUUCAACCGGUCUUUAAUUUAUGAUUUCUAUGUUGAAAUUUUCAUACCUUAGUUAUGUUCUAUUGUUGGAAACUAUGUGUACAGGGUCUUAUUAUAUAAAUCCUUGAUGAGAAUCUCAAUGGCUCAAUGGUUAAAUUAGUUUUCAUUUUGUUGUUGAUUGAGUUUUGUGGCUGCUACAUUACUUGAUUGUCUUAUGUAUUUGAACAUCCCGUGUUGCUAUCUUAAUUUAUUUGUGUUUUAAAAGUUUUAAGUUCCAUUCAUUUUUAGUAAAUUUGCUUUGUCAAUGAGUUAAGCGAAAUACACUGUCACAUAGCCUUCCAUAUUUCAUCUUUGUGCUUGUGGUUUUUUGUUGUCUUAAAACUUUUUUUUGCCUCAUUAUUAUCAGAUUGAGUGAAUGGUGGUACUUUCAUUGUGCUAUCAACAGUUUUAACAAUAUUAUUAAUGGAAGAUAACUGGAAUGAGAAUACUAUUAGGAUGCCUCACAGAUUCAAGAGUGGAUUUAGAGAAGACUCUUCCAUGGCGUGGGUUUUGUCAAAGUUCAUUUAGAGAGCAAGUUAUCAUCUGAUGUUAGUGGAUGGGUUGAUUUUUGUAGAACACAUAGAUUGGUUGAAGGGAUACCAGUUAAAUUUAUAGCCAACGAGCCCCUUGACAACUAGGUUAUUUAUGUUAAGGUUGCUGCUGUGCAGCAAGUGAUAGACGAAAAGUUUGUUCCUUUUGUGGUCAUGGCACAAUUCUUUGCGGUCACACCAUAUUUGAACUGUUCGGAAUUGUGUUGUCUUCUUUGAUUCACAUGUAUGAAUUCAUGGUUUAUCAUGUGAAUUUUGAUGGUAGUAUCAUAUUUUAUUUUGAUAGUA